rnacentral:lncRNA from 1 species
CUCUUUCUCUUUCUCUCUUUAAACUGUGAUCAUAUUUCUUCAAGCUCAAACCCUAGAAUUCAACUGUUAUCAUGGUAUCCAUAGCAGGUUCUUAUGUUGUGGAUUUGCUAGGUUACUAAGCAAUGACGGUUCGUUGUGGUUCUAAAAGGCUUUUUUUUGGGGGGGGGGGGCGGUGCUGCAAUUGAUGUCGGUGAUGUGAUUAAUGGCGAUGCUGCAAUUGUUGUCGGUGUUGUGAUCUCUUUCAUUCCCACUGAAUUCUUCUUCUUUCGGUUACUUUGGUUCUUUACCUGCAAUUUCCAUACUGUUUGAGUUGGUCUUGUGAUUCAUGGCUGUGUUGUGAGUUCAUCAAUUUUCACUGCAUUCUUGUUCUUUCAAGUGCUUCGAUUCUUUAUCUACACUUUCUAUACUGCUUGAUAGCUUGAUUUUGAUUAAGAUCUAAAGGCUGAUGCCAUAUUACUGCAUAGUUUGUUGUCGAUGUGAUUGAUAUCUUGAAGGCCAAUGCCAUAUUUGUUAGUAGUUACUGUGGAUGCUUUCUUGAAAGCCGAUGCCAUAUAUCAUGUUUGCUAAAAUCAACCAUUUGUGAUUUGAUUCUAUUUUGAGUCUGUGAAGACUUAAGUCGGUGUUGAUUGAAUUUUUUUCUCAAGUCCUAAAACCAUAGCUUGUUUCUGUUAAUUGGGUUUUUCAUAAUGACUACUUCUACGGUGAAAAUUGAGAGUGUUUUGGGGAUGUUGACAAUUAAGUUGAAUGAUACAAAUUACUCUAAGUGGGCUUUUCAAUUCCAGUCUGUGCUUCGGGGAUAUAAGUUGUGUUGAUCACUUUGAUGGAAUCGCUGUUCCUCCAUCAAAGUUUGUUAUUAGCACUGAGACUGGUGUUACUAAGGAAAUUUCAUCUGCCUUUCAAGAAUGGGAAACUAUAGAUUUGCCUUUUCUGAGUUUAUUAAUUGCAACAUUGUCCGAUGAUGCUAUUAAGAAUGUGAUUGGAUGCAGAACUACUUCAGAAGCAUGGUCUAUUCUUGCAUAUAGAUAUGCUACAGUGUCUAACUGUAGAAUUAACAUGCUUAAAACUGAAUUUCAAACAAUGCAAAAGGGCACUGAUUAGAUUGAUAAGUAUUUGUCUAGACUUAAAUCCAUUUGGGAUCAACUCAUUAUUGCAAGAGAAUGUAUUUCUGAAAAUGAUUUCAUUAUAGUAGCCCUUACAGGUCAUCCAAGAAAAUAUGCUAUCAUCCGAACAAUGAUUCUGGCUUUCGAGCUCAACUUUUAAAUACUGAAAGGGACAUUGACAUAAUGGAGACUACUUUGUCACAUUAUAUGUCUGCUAUGUAUGUGCAAGGUUCUUCUUCAUCUCAGGGUUUUUCUCAAGGAUCAUCAUCUAACUCUACUCCACAUGAUGGUUUCUCUUCUGUCACCACUGGUACCAUUACUCCAGGUCCCUAUGUUCUUCCUGCAUCAUAACCAUUUCUUAUUGGUCCAUUUGUUCAAUUUCCACCAGGUUAUGGAUAUGGUUUAGUUGGUAAUGGUUCACAGUCUCAGAUGUUUAUGCCUAUCUAUCCCCCAUCUUCUUCAUUUAAUCAGAAACUAUACCAACGAAACAAUAGGGGAUUUAAAUACAAAUACAACAGGGGUUGAGGUAAUGGCUCUGGUUUUCAGCAAAGUGCCUGGAAUGGCAACACUAAUUCUGAAUUUCAAAUGCAACUUGAAUGUCAAAUCUGCUAAAGAAGGGGCUAUACAGCUCCAAAAUGCUUUUAUAGAAGUUCCACUUCUGGACAUAAUUUCCAAGAAUGCCAAAUUUGUGGUAAGAGGGGUCACAUCACUCUGGAGUGUUUCCAUAGGGGUAACUAUGCAUAUCAAGGUUCUGGUCCUCAUUCAUCUUUUUGGCUUAUGCCUGGUCCUACAUAUUCAUCUUCAUAGUUUCAGCUUCCUACUUGACUAGCUUUCUCAGGAUCCACUUCAUACAGUCUUAAUCUGAAUGCUAUGUCAACUCAUACCAUUGCACCGUAUCCCACUGAACAUGUUUGGAUCAUGGAUACAGGUGCCUCGCAUUAUAUGACUUCGAAUGUUAACAGUCUCACUCAGGUUCAACCAUUUGAAGGCUCUUAGAGGAUCAAAAUAGGCAAUGGUCAAUGUUUGCCUAUCAAGCAUGUUGGAUCUACAAUGCUUACAACUCUUUCUUCAUCUCUUAAACUUAAUCAAGUUCUUCAUGUUCCUAAUCUUACUGAUAACCUUUUAUCUAUGAAACAAUUAUGUAAAGACAAUUGAUGUUGGUUUAUUAUCAUACACUAUUUUUUGUGUAGGACAAGGUAACAAGGACGAUAUUGUACCAAUGCAGGAGUAAGCCUAAUGAGUUGUUUCAGAUUCCUGUGUUCAAGAAUGUACAGUCUCAACAUUUUCCAAUACAUACCUCUGCAUUUCUGGGUCAAGCUAUCAAGUCUACUAUCUGGCACCAACAUAUGGGUUAUCCUACCAAUGAGGUCCUCUCUGUUAUGUUACAUAAGUCUCAAAUAAGUCACCAAGCAGAUGACAAUUGUAAAUUGUGCUCAGAUUGUAUUAAGGGAAAAAUGUCUAGAUUACCUUUUUCUUAGGAUUCUUCUAGAUGUUUAGUACCAUCUAAGAGAAUUCAUUCAGAUAUUUGGGGUCCAUUUCUAGUUAAAUCCAUUGAAGGAUAUAGGUAUUAUGUAACCUUCGUGGAUGAUUGUACCAGAUUUGUAUGGAUCUUUCCAUUAUGUAAUAAAUCUGAUGUUUACCCAUUAUUUGUGAGAUUCUACACCUUUGUUUCUGUGCAUUUUGGUUCUGCAAUAAAGUUUUUCCAAACUGAUGGGGGUGGUGAAUAAGUUAGCAAGCAGUUUGGUAAUUUUCUUGCUUCUAAAGGAAUUUUACACAGGAUUUCUUGCCCUUACACUCCACAACAAAAUGGGUUUGUGGAGCAAAGGAAUAGACAUAUCAUCGAGACUACUAUUACUUUGUUAUCUAUUGCUGGAUUGUCUUUGGAUUUCUGGUAUCAAGCAUAUGCACACUCUGUGUAUCUUACUAAUCGUAUGCCUUGUAAAGCUUUACAUAUGGAAUCCCCUUUCUCAGUGUUGUAUUAUAAACCUCCUCAGUUAUAGCAUAUAAGGGUCUUUGGAUCAGCUGUUUACCCUUAUAUCGAGCUAUAUAAUUCUCAUAAACUUCAAUUUCGAUCUGUGUUAUGUAUCUUUCUAGGCUAUGCAGUUGGUUACAAAGGUAUUAUUUGUUAUGAUCUUCAUCAUAAGAAAUUAUUAUUAUCCAGUGAUAAGAGCAUAUUUAUGCGACUUAGUUCGCUUGUUUUCUUGCAUUUUCAUAGCUAGUUUCUACUUAUUAGAGUGUUUUAAGCUAUUUUCGUGUGUUUUCAGGUUCAAAUGACAAAGUUGGCAAGAAAGUGCAAUUUGGAGCAUUUUGGAGCAGUUUUGGGCCAAGAAUGGAUGGCACAUGUGGGGAGCACUUUGGAUGGAUGUUUUUUAAGUUCAAAAGGCUAGGAAUAUGCUAAGGAGAUGAAGAAAAUAAAGUCAAGACAAAGGAGAUAAGGAAUCAGCUAAAAGGAAGGAACAUUAUCCAAAACCUUAUCCAACCUUAUCUUAUCUUAUCCUAUCCUAAUCUUAUCAUACCUUAAUUCCAGCUGCAAGAGGGGAUGAAUUACACAUUAAAUCACCUAAAUACCCCUUUCUAGAAGCCUUAUCACCUGCCCUAGAUUGGUGCCGCACCUUUUAUUGCUUUUCUUUUAUGAAUCUGCCAGAUAUUCCAUUCUAGAAGCUUUGGCCGAAUUUCGUAGCCCUUUUUCCCUAGGAUUGUGUAAUCCUUUUCCUCCACUACUUUGUGCCGAAACCCUAGGUCUAUAUAUACAUAUUUUCUAUGGCACAAUUGACCACCACCCCCAUAUAUUUCUACACCACAAUUCACACCAAUUACACAGAAAUACCAUUGUGCCGUAGCAAGGAAGGAAGGGAGAAAGUUGGAGCUGUGACUUGCCAUUCAAUCUUUGGAGUGCUGGAGCGUUUCUGGGUUCUUUCUAUCCUUAGUUUUAGUUUAAUGUUUGUUUUAAUUUGGUUUUAUGUUUUCAAAGACAUGAGGAACUAAUUUCUUUAUAGUUGGAGGUGAAUUCGAAGCCAUGAUUAUAUGUUUUAUAUGAAUUGAUUACAUCCAGUUAUUGUUUCUUGAGUCUUGAAUGUGAUUUACUUAUCUGAGUUAUCAAAACUUAUAUAUGUAUGUAGACUGAGGGUCGACACUUAAUUUGCAUGCAUGAAUUUGAUUCUAGAGUAUAAGGGAGUUUCACCUAAUCGUUAUGAACUUAUAUUCACAAGUAGUGGAAGUCACUAGUCAUGAUUGUGUUAAGUAAAUUCUUGGCAGGAGUAUCAUGCUUUUCAUAGUUACGAAUGCUUCGUCAAUGCUUAUGGUUUUCAACAAACUUAAUGACAUUUUGUUGGAAAUGUGCCCUAAAGCCAAUCAUGUGAUGAUACUUUACGGACAUUUCACAUGUUAAACUAAUCUAGU